rnacentral:rRNA from 1 species
UCGAGAAUCUUCGGCAAUGGACGAAAGUCUGACCGAGCGACGCCGCGUGCGGGAUGAAGGCCUUCGGGUUGUAAACCGCUGUCAGUAGGGAGGAAAGCCUUUAUGGUUUGACCGAUCUUCAGAGGAAGGACGGGCUAAGUUCGUGCCAGCAGCCGCGGUAAGACGAACCGUCCAAACGUUAUUCGGUAUCACUGGGCUUAAAGCGUACGUAGGCGGCCUGGAAGGUGAGAUGUGAAAUCCCACGGCUCAACCGUGGAAUUGCGUUUCAAACCACCAGGCUCGAGGAAGACAGGGGUGAUGGGAACUUAUGGUGGAGCGGUGAAAUGCGUUGAUAUCAUAGGGAACACCGGUGGCGAAAGCGCAUCACUGGGUCUUUUCUGACGCUGAGGUACGAAAGCUAGGGUAGCGAACGGGAUUAGAUACCCCCGUAGUCC